UACGUAGGGUGCUAGCGUUGUCCGGAUUUAUUGGGCGUAAAGGGCUCGUAGGCGGCGUGUCGCGUCGGGGAGUGAAAGCCCGCUGCUUAACGGCGGGUUAGCUUCCGGUACGGGCAUCGCUGGAGUGCGGCAGGGGAGACUGGAAUUCCUGGUGUAGCGGUGGAAUGCGCAGAUAUCGGGAGGAACACCGGUGGCGAAGGCGGUUCUCUGGGCCUUACCUGACGCUGAGGAGCGAAAGCGUGGGGAGCGAACAGG
rnacentral:rRNA from 1 species